rnacentral:rRNA from 1 species
UACGGAGGGAGCUAGCGUUGUUCGGAAUUACUGGGCGUAAAGCGCACGUAGGCGGCUUUGUAAGUUAGAGGUGAAAGCCCGGGGCUCAACUCCGGAACUGCCUUUAAGACUGCAUCGCUUAAAUCCAGGAGAGGUGAGUGGAAUUCCGAGUGUAGAGGUGAAAUUCGUAGAUAUUCGGAAGAACACCAGUGGCGAAGGCGGCUCACUGGACUGGUAUUGACGCUGAGGUGCGAAAGCGUGGGGAGCAAACAGG